rnacentral:rRNA from 1 species
GGGAACUCUGACACAGGUGCUGCAUGGCUGUCGUCAGCUCGUGUCGUGAGAUGUUGGGUUAAGUCCCGUACGAGCGCAACCCUGCCUUUAGUUGCCAGCAGCUCGGCUGGGCACUCUAAAGGGACUGCCGGUGUUAAACCGGAGGAAGGUGGGGAUGACGUCAAGUCCUCAUGGCCUUUAUGACCAGGGCUACACACGUACUACAAUGGCCGAUACAAAGGGCAGCGACACUGCGAGGUGAAGCCAAUCCCGUAAAAUCGGUCUCAGUCCGGAUUGGAGUCUGCAACUCGACUCCAUGAAGUUGGAAUCGCUAGUAAUCGUGAAUCAGAAUGUCACGGUGAAUACGUUCCCGGGCCUU